GAGUGCUGCUGGAGGCGGAAGAAAGAGAAAACCCAAAAACAAACCCUAAGCUACGCGUCUUGCCGUCUUCGACAUCUUCCUUAAUUCUUCCUCUUCGACAUCUUCGUGACCUUCGUCUCCAGUCCAGUCCGUUCCUCGUUCCUCCGGCUCCUUCCUCCGGCUCCUUCCUCCGUUCCUCGUCCAGUCCGCCAGCCACUGACUACAAUUCAAGUUGACAAGUUGCUUCGUCUUCGACUUCGAUAAUCGAUCCGCAAAUCGCAAUCCAGGCUCCAGCAAAUCAGCAAUCGACGCUUCCUCUUCCUCUUCAAGUUGCUUUAGACUUCAGUACACUUCGUCUUCUUUCUCAAGCCCAAGUGAGUAACAAUGGUUAGGAUUAGUGUGCUGAAUGAUGCUCUCAAGACAAUGUACAAUGCUGAGAAGCGAGGGAAGCGCCAAAAUCUGAUUAGGCCCUCAUCCAAAGUCAUCAUCAAGUUUCUACUUGUCAUGCAAAAGCAUGGUUACAUCGGUGAGUUCGAGUAUGUUGAUGACCAUCGUUCUGGAAAGACCUUCGAUGGGUGCCGGAG